AUGGAAGGGACCCAUGGCGACGGCAAUGGUGUGUGCUUCCCCUACGACGUGUUACUCGACAUCCUCCGCCGCCUCCCCUGCCACGCCAUCGCCAAGUCCCGGCAUGUCUGCCGUGCGUGGCGCACCCUCGUCGACGCCCACAACCUCCUCCUCCUCCCGACGGUGUUCUUCGACGUGACCAUCGGCGGCGCUCCCGCAGGCCGCAUCGUGAUGAGGCUGUUCGCCAAGGACGUGCCCAAGAUGGCGGAGAACUUCCGCGCGCUCUGCACCGGUGAGAAGGGCGUCGGCAGGAGCGGCAAGCCGCUGCACUACAAGGGCAGCGCGUUCCACCGCGUGAUCCCCGGCUUCAUGUGCCAGGGCGGCGGCAUCACCAGGGGCAACGGCCUCGGCGGCGAGUCCAUCUAUGGGGGCGACUUCCCCGACGAGAAGUUUGUCUACAAACACAUGCCCGGGAUGAUCUCUAUGGCCAACGCCGGGCCCAACACCAACAGCUCCCACUUCUUCAUCUCCACCGUGCCCUGCCCGUGGCUCGACGGCAAGCACGUCGUCUUCGGCGAGGUCAUCGUGGGCAUGGCCGUCGUCCGAAACAUCGAGAAGGUGGGCUCCCGCAGCGGCACGUGCUCCAAGCCCGUCGUCAUCGCCGACUCCGGCCAGCUCUAG
rnacentral:rRNA from 1 species